GUGAAAGGGUGAGGUAAGAGCUCACCGGGCUGGCGGUAACGUUGGUCGCACGGCAAACCCCAUCUGAAGCAAGACGAAAUAGGGAGGCGUUGAGGGUGGUCCCGCCCGAGUCUCUGGGUAGCGUCGCUCGAGGCCGAUGGCGACAUCGGUCCCAGAAGAAUGAUCACGACCCGCAUUUCGGCGACGAGUGCGGGUUACAAAACUCGGCUUACGAACCCUCUAACCAC
rnacentral:RNase_P_RNA from 1 species